GGGAGGAGUUCAUCCAUCAGCCUGGUUACCAGGCAGUGUAGUUAGCUGAUUGCCACCAGGACCAAUCACUAACCACACAGCCAGGUAAAAAGGCUGGGGAGAAAGCCCAGUGGGA
rnacentral:precursor_RNA from 7 species